GCACGGUGUGUUGGGGUUGGGAGGGCGCCGUUGUUCGGCCUUGGUGCCGGUGGCGUUGAGGGGGUUGAGCGAGUAUUGGAGAUUCUCUCCACUGAAACGGUAACAGCCAUGCGACUCCUGGGCGUCGAAAAAGUUGAUGAUCUAGGCAUGCAGCACAUUAAUGCCCGUGCCGUGGAGCAACAAAUAUAUGAUGGCCCAGCAGGACUGCACGCACUAGAUCGCUUGGUUAAGCCUAAAAUAUAAUUUCGAAAUUCUAAACUUCUUGCUUUGUGAUCUACCUACAUAGACAUACUUUUGCUUGUGUGUGUGUGUGUGUGUGUGUGUGAGUGUGCGCGUUUGAUCCAUCGGAAUUUAUGUGUCUCUUAUGAAGUUAUGUUUCCAGUACGCAGGAGUGCGAGUUCUACCAGUUGAAGAGUUUUUUUCUGCCGCCCGAAUCAUAUAUUUCAUAUCACAAGAAUGAUCCUACUUGCCAUCCCACUAUUAUUUCAUUCCUGAGACCUAAAUUCUAGCUAUCUGUUAUCAAUACCUGCCAGCACAAUCCAAUCCACAAUCCAAUUUCUAGAUUCCUUGUACACAGUACACCAAAGAUAGGACACUCCUAAUCUACAUUUAAAAACAUUUGAUCUUGGGCAUUCAACCUCACCAUGAAGGGUGCGGUUGGCUUCUCUGUGCGAUUCAGAUAACUAGUCAGUGGUCUAUCUGCUCAAAUCAUUGCACGACGUCGUCUCAAGGUUACAGUUCGAGUAGUUUUCAUCUAAAACUGCAAGC
rnacentral:sRNA from 1 species